rnacentral:rRNA from 1 species
AGCAGCCGCGGUAAUUCCAGCUCCAAUAGCGUAUAUUAAAGUUGUUGCAGUUAAAAAGCUCGUAGUUGAACUUCGGGAUUCGCUCAUUGGUCAGGCUUAACUGUCUGUACUGGUGUAACGAAUUCCUACCUUCUGAUGAAUCUUCAUGCCAUUUACUUGGUGCGUAGGGGAAUCAGGACUGUUACUUUGAAAAAUUAGAGUGUUUAAAGCAGGCUAUUGCUCGAAUACAUUAGCAUGAAAUAAUAGAAUAGGACGGUUGGUUCUAUUUUGUUGGUUUCUAGGAUCACCGUAAUGAUUAAUAGGGAUAGUUGGGGGCAUUAGUAUUCAAUUGUCAGAGGUGAAAUUCUUGGAUUUAUUGAAGACUAACUACUGCGAAAGCAUUUGCCAAGGAUGUUUUCAUUAAUCAAGAACGAAAGUUAGGGG